CCUACGGGUGGCAGCAGUGAGGAAUAUUGGUCAAUGGACGAGAGUCUGAACCAGCCAAGUAGCGUGAAGGAUGACUGCCCUAUGGGUUGUAAACUUCUUUUAUAUGGGAAUAAAAUGUUCCACGUAUACUAUUUUGCAUGUACCUUAUGAAUAAGGAUCGGCUAACUCCGUGCCAGCAGCCGCGGUAAUACGGAGGAUCCGAGCGUUAUCCGGAUUUAUUGGGUUUAAAGGGAGCGUAGGUGGGUUGUUAAGUCAGUUGUGAAAGUUUGCGGCUCAACCGUAAAAUUGCAGUUGAUACUGGCAGUCUUGAGUACAGUAGAGGUAGGCGGAAUUCGUGGUGUAGCGGUGAAAUGCUUAGAUAUCACGAAGAACUCCGAUUGCGAAGGCAGCCUACUGGACUGCAACUGACACUGAGGCUCGAAAGUGUGGGUAUCAAACAGGAUUAGAUACCCUAGUAGUC
rnacentral:rRNA from 1 species